UACGGAGGGUGCAAGCGUUGCUCGGAAUUAUUGGGCGUAAAGGGUAGGUAGGUGGUCUCGUUUGUCUGAGGUGAAAGCCUUGAGCUUAACUCAAGAAGUGCCUCAGAAACGGCGAGACUAGAGUCUUGGAGAGGGUCGUGGAAUUCCCGGUGUAGCGGUGAAAUGCGUAGAGAUCGGGGAGGAACACCAGAGGCGAAGGCGGCGACCUGGACAAGUACUGACACUCAACUACGAAAGCGUGGGGAGCAAACAGG
rnacentral:rRNA from 1 species